AGAGUUUGAUCCUGGCUCAGGAUGAACGCUGGCGGCGUGCUUAACACAUGCAAGUCGAACGAUGAUCCCAGCUUGCUGGGGGAUUAGUGGCGAACGGGUGAGUAACACGUGAGUAACCUGCCCUUAACUCUGGGAUAAGCCUGGGAAACUGGGUCUAAUACCGGAUAUGACUCCUCAUCGCAUGGUGGGGGGUGGAAAGCUUUAUUGUGGUUUUGGAUGGACUCGCGGCCUAUCAGCUUGUUGGUGAGGUAAUGGCUCACCAAGGCGACGACGGGUAGCCGGCCUGAGAGGGUGACCGGCCACACUGGGACUGAGACACGGCCCAGACUCCUACGAGAGGCAGCAGUGGGGAAUAUUGCACAAUGGGCGAAAGCCUGAUGCAGCGACGCCGCGUGAGGGAUGACGGCCUUCGGGUUGUAAACCUCUUUCAGUAGGGAAGAAGCGAAAGUGACGGUACCUGCAGAAGAAGCGCCGGCUAACUACGUGCCAGCAGCCGCGGUAAUACGUAGGGCGCAAGCGUUAUCCGGAAUUAUUGGGCGUAAAGAGCUCGUAGGCGGUUUGUCGCGUCUGCCGUGAAAGUCCGGGGCUCAACUCCGGAUCUGCGGUGGGUACGGGCAGACUAGAGUGAUGUAGGGGAGACUGGAAUUCCUGGUGUAGCGGUGAAAUGCGCAGAUAUCAGGAGGAACACCGAUGGCGAAGGCAGGUCUCUGGGCAUUAACUGACGCUGAGGAGCGAAAGCAUGGGGAGCGAACAGGAUUAGAUACCCCAGUAGUCC
rnacentral:rRNA from 1 species